AGAGUUUGAUCCUGGCUCAGGAUGAACGCUAGCUACAGGCUUAACACAUGCAAGUCGAGGGGAAACGACAUCGAAAGCUUGCUUUCGAUGGGCGUCGACCGGCGCACGGGUGAGUAACGCGUAUCCAACCUGCCCACCACUUGGGGAUAACCUUGCGAAAGUAAGACUAAUACCCAAUGACGUCUCUAGAAGACAUCUGAAAGAGAUUAAAGAUUUAUCGGUGAUGGAUGGGGAUGCGUCUGAUUAGCUUGUUGGCGGGGUAACGGCCCACCAAGGCGACGAUCAGUAGGGGUUCUGAGAGGAAGGUCCCCCACAUUGGAACUGAGACACGGUCCAAACUCCUACGGGAGGCAGCAGUGAGGAAUAUUGGUCAAUGGACGAGAGUCUGAACCAGCCAAGUAGCGUGCAGGAUGACGGCCCUAUGGGUUGUAAACUGCUUUUAUAAGGGAAUAAAGUGAGUCUCGUGAGACUUUUUGCAUGUACCUUAUGAAUAAGGACCGGCUAAUUCCGUGCCAGCAGCCGCGGUAAUACGGAAGGUCCGGGCGUUAUCCGGAUUUAUUGGGUUUAAAGGGAGCGUAGGCCGGAGAUUAAGCGUGUUGUGAAAUGUAGAUGCUCAACAUCUGCACUGCAGCGCGAACUGGUUUCCUUGAGUACGCACAAAGUGGGCGGAAUUCGUGGUGUAGCGGUGAAAUGCUUAGAUAUCACGAAGAACUCCGAUUGCGAAGGCAGCUCACUGGAGCGCAACUGACGCUGAAGCUCGAAAGUGCGGGUAUCGAACAGGAUUAGAUACCCUGGUAGUCCGCACGGUAAACGAUGGAUGCCCGCUGUUGGUCUGAAUAGGUCAGCGGCCAAGCGAAAGCAUUAAGCAUCCCACCUGGGGAGUACGCCGGCAACGGUGAAACUCAAAGGAAUUGACGGGGGCCCGCACAAGCGGAGGAACAUGUG
rnacentral:rRNA from 1 species